GAGGAAGGAAGAGCUCUGCGUGCAGGAGCAUUUGGCAGUUUGUUUAGGGCCGGAGUUCAUCUGAGUCCUGCAGAUGAGGAGGGACCUGGUGGAAUUUGUUGCUAAAUGCACGUGGUAGCCUGUGCUGCAUAGCUGUUCAACAUUAAGCAAGAUGAAGAAAUGGAGGCCCAAGGAACUGAAGAUCUUUCCCAACAUCGCCCACUGGGAGUCCCUCCCACGGAGGUCACCUGCAUAUCCACUUCACUCUAGAUUCUUCCCCACCCUCUCCCUACACUUCAUGCAGGCCUUCAAUCCUUGAAGAGUGAGUCAGCAGACAGAAGACCCCUUGCCCAGUUGCCCCUGCAUCCCAUCCCUCUCCAGGUGCUCCCUGCAUCCAUCUUGCCUGCUCAUCCCUCCACUAAAGCAAUGUCUCCACUGUGUUCCGUGCAUGUUCUCUCACUGUGCUUCUUGUGGGCAGGGGUGGAAUGUGGUUUUUAUGUCUGGGAGGCCAGAGCCUUGAUGCACAGUACAUCCUCAGUAAACACUGGUCAAAUGAACAGACGCACAAGUAAAGAAAUCACAGCUCACUCCUG